rfam:Asian citrus Psyllid, Diaphorina citri - Florida Strain, whole genome shotgun sequence.
GCCUCGGUGGCGUAGUGGUCAAGACGCUCGCCUGGUAAUCAGGAGGGCCUGGGUUCGAUCCCAGCCGAGGUA